UGUGUAGUCAUACGCUCGUCUCAAAGAUUAAGCCAUGCAUGUGUAAGUAUAACUAAUUGACUUUGAAACUGCGAAUGGCUCAUUAUAUCAGUUAUAGUUUAUUUGGUGAAGGAUACUAAUUGGAUAACCGUAGUAAUUCUAGGGCUAAUACAUGAGUAAAGUCCCGUUGGGAUGUGUUUAUUAGAAUGAAAACCAUAUGCUUCGGCAUGAUAGUGAGUAAUAGUAACCUAUCGUAUCGCAUGCUUAAUGUAGCGAUGAGUCUUUCAAGUUUCUGCCCUAUCAGCUUUCGAUGGUAGCAUAUGGGUCUACCAUGGCAGUAACGGGUAACGAAGAA
rnacentral:rRNA from 1 species